ensembl:lncRNA
GGGCUCUGAGCGGACCAGGUGGGGCUGGCAGUCUGCAGGCGCCGCUGCCCCCUGCAGCCUCGGCGUCCACGGCUGUAAGCAGCUGGCGGUGGAGGGCCGAGCCCUGGGCUCAGGCGACCUGACCUUCAUUCCAGCUGCCCUCCCUGGGACAAGCAGUUCAAGAACCACAUCCGCUUCCCAGCGGUUGGUGAGGACGCGAGCACGCAGUCAGCGUGGAACUUUAGGGCGGUGCCCACACUGUCAGCAGGAUUCCAGAAGGCUCCUUGUGGCAGUUUUGCUGAACCGAGGCAGCCAGCGGAGGACCCGGACAGCGUGCCCCCCAUCGACGUCCUCUGGAUCAAAGGGGCCCGGGGGGGCGACUACUUCUACUCCUUCGGGGGCUGCCACCGCUAUGCGGCCUACCAGCAGCUGCAGCGGGAGACCAUCCCAGCCAAGCUUGUCCAGUCGACUCUCUCAGACCUGCGGGUGUACCUGGGCGCUUCCACGCCGGACUUGCAAUAGCAGCCUCCUCGGCACCUGCCACCGCUCCCAAGAGCCCAGAAGACGCGGUGGCCUCCGGUGGGCCGGGCCACACAGCGGGCGCAGGAGGGGUGCGUUCUCUCCAAGCCUCCGGGAGGCUCUGACUCUCAGCACCUGUUUGCCAGCUCUUGGACUCACAGCCGAACAGUGUGGGAGCCUCAGUUCCCUCUGUGGUCAUGGGGUCAUGGCCUCGACCUUGAGGGAUUAUUGAGAGGAUGACACGAGAAAGGAGAUGGGUUUGGAGAGCCACAUGCUGCUGGCUCCAGAUUCCCAAAGACAAGGAUCCUGCUGCAUUUUUGUCUUCAUAUAUCCUAUUUUUAUGGAAUACACUCAGCUGCAAGUAAAGGACAAACUAGCUUACAGUGGCUAGACAAAGAGAAGUUGUGUUUCCGCACAGCAUGAAUUCUGGAGACAGGUGGCUGAUGGUGUUGAUUUAACAACUCAGUAAAGGAGGGCUCACAUUUCUAUUAUCCUUUUGGCCUUUCCCUCAUGGCUUGUUACCUCAUGGUCACAGGAUGGCUGCUGUACCUCCAGGAAUCAUGUCUGUCUUCAAGGAAGAAAGGAGUGGGGGAUGAGGAAGGCCAAGCCAGCUGGACUUGUCGACCUCUCUCAUAAAGUCAAACCUUUCUCAGAGGCCUGCUUCCUGCUGUCUCUCCCUGCAUAUUUCCUUGGCCCAAACCAGCUACCGUUGCCACCUCUAGCUGCAAGGAAAGCUAAGACAGCAGGAACAGAAUUGUCAUAGUUGAGUAGACCAGUCACAUCCCAUCUCCUGGGACUGGCACGCAGCCUUCUGAAAUAAAAUUGGGAUGCCACUGCCAAGAGGGAAAUGAGGGAUCAUGCAUUAGUUAGUCAGGCUUUGCUGUGUAACAAACCAGCCCAAAACUUAGCAGCGAAAAACAAGUCAUUUACUUGCCCACGGUUCUGUGGGUUGGCCGUUUGGGCUGGGCUCAUCUGGAUGGUUCUGCUGACCUCGCCUGGGGUCAUUGUGGGGCUGCGUGCUGUCAGCUUCACUUCACUGGGGCUGGGUGGCCUCCAAUAGCCUUACUCCCUGGUCUGGCCGUUGGCGGGCUGUUGGCUGGGUGACACGCUCUCCUUCAUGUGGCCCGUCCAGCGAGUCAGCUCGGGCUUAUUCACAUGAUGGCCUCAGGGUUCCGAGAGUGAGGGGAGGAGCUGCAAGGCCCUGGCGUUUGAGCCCAGAAGUGGCACAGCAUCCCUUCUGCGCAAUUCUUGUCAUCAGGGCAAAUCGUAGGGCCGGCCCCAAUUCAAGGGGCGGGGAAACAGGCUACACCUCUUAACGGGAGAAACUGCAACGAAUUUGCAGCAGUUUUCGUCUAUCACACAUGAUUCUGCACAGGCAAAUAACAGUAUUUCCCCCUCCGUUUCUCUCUCCUUUACACAGGGCUGUGCUCCACCCAGGCUGAGGUCUCUCAGCCAUUGUCCUGGCCCCCCAGUCUAGGAGAGUUAGUGAUGGGCGUGCGGUGGCUCUCUCCACUCAAGCAGGAGCAUCUCUCAUUGUCUGCACUGGUGGGAGGGGUGGGCCCGGUGGGACACUCCGAAGGGGCUUCUGAAUUCCUAGAGUCCGGGGGGAAGGGAGAGGCAGAGCGAGGGUGCAGAGUGAGGUGGGCCCUGCCAGGGGAGCUCGGUCACUUGUGUUUUCGAGUCUCAGUGUCCCAGCUCAGUAUGGAAGACGACAGCUUUCCCACCCAUUCUGUGUCCAGGGAGAGACAACUGAGGCGACCAAUAGAAUUUGAAAGGAGCAUAGUCCCAAAUGCAAUGUGAUAUCCUGGAUUGGGUCUUGGAACAAAAAAAGGAGCAUUGGUGGAAAAGCUGGAAAUCUGAAUAAAGUCUGGAUUUCAGUUAAUGAUCAUAGAGUAGUGCUGAGGUUGGGGUAGGCUGGCUGCGGAGUAUAUGGGAACUCCCUGUGUUAUCUUUGCAGUUUUUCUGUAAAUCGAAAAUCAUUCCCAAAUAAAAGUUUAUUUGAUAGAAGGAAGGGUGUCAUUGCUUUUAGACCAAUGGUUCAGGUUCUCAAACGGGUUUGCUUAAACUCUGAUGGCUGGGCCCCACCCCCGGAGUUGCUGACUCCGUGAGUCUGGGGUGGAGCCUGAGAACUGGCUUUUCUAGUAAGUUCCCAGGUGCUGCUGCUGCUGCUGUCCAGGGGCCACAGGCUGAGAAGCCCUGAUCUAGUCUGCGCCAGUUAUUUUCGAAUGUGGUGGCACACCCUCCACACCUGGUGGGCUGGGUCCCAGGAGAUCCGUGCUCUGGGACCGGCUUGCGCAGCCAUUCAUCAUGUGACAUUGGACAAACCCGUCCCUGGGGGCUUCUUACAAGCUGUCAAAUGGACUGUCUACCCCCAAGGUUUGUAGCGAGGGUCAGAAAGCCGAAGACAGGCUUUGUAAACUGGUGUGUGCAGUGCCACCGUCUCCCGUAAGUGAUCACCUGCUGCAUCCGCUGGGCUAGGGUGACAGAGUGCUCGCCCCUCCCUGACAGAGCUUUCCGUUCUCGCAGAUGAGACGCGAGCAGGUAGCGCUGGGGGCCCUGCUAGGCAGCGGAAGGGGUUGGGAGCUGGGUUUCGAAGGGCGAGACCUGCCGGCUGCUCUCAGCGGAGCCCGCGAGCUGCGUUUCCCGCUGACGCCAGCAGGUGGCGCCGCUCGCCGGCCUGCGGGGCAGGGCUGGACUUCCAGCCCCAGAGCAGCGGUCUGGGAGGAGGGGCCUGGCUGGGAGUCUGGAGUUUCAGGUUCUGCUUAUCCUGUCCACUCUUGCUCUGUGGCCUUGCACACGUCACGGCCUCUCCAGGCCUGUCGUCUAGUCUACACUGGGGGUGCUGGGCCAGAUGGUCCAGGGUCAACAAAGGUAGCACCUCCUCCAAGAAGCUUCCAGAUCCUCUAAGCUGAGCCAUAUGCCUCUUCUGGGCUCCCCAGUCCAACUGUGUGUCCCCUCCCUAGACAAACCACUGCCCCCCAGGAACUUGGGUGCAAUGAGAGGCAGUGUGUAGGGACCCCUUGGGCCUUUCACUGCCCUGCAACCCACCCCCUUCACUAAGGCAGGUUUUUAAGACUUUUUUAAUUUCACAAGUUAUAUGGGAGUAUAUUCACCUUUAAGACAUUAAGAUAUAAAAAUGCUAAAUAAUUAAAUAUGUAAAAAAUAAAAUAUUAGAGUCCAGUUGCAGCCCCAGUCCUGGUUGCCCCUGUGCCCUCCCUACUUGGGGCGACUACCUUCAUGAAUUUGGUGUAUACCCUUCCAGACCUUUUUCUAACUUUGUAGCGGUGUAUGUGUGUGGAAGUAAAGAAUGCUUUUCUUUUUCCCAUUACUUUGCAGAUCGCAUUUCUUGCCUGGCAUGUGCCCUGGCCAUCAACCCCAUUAGUGUCUUUGCUCUUCUCCCAGAGUCUCCUCAUUCAGGUCACUUCGUCAGAGGGGCCUUCCCUGACCACACUGUCUAAAACAGCCCCCUCCCCCAUCAUUCUGUCACCCUACUGAGUUUUAUUUUCUUCAUGGCAUUUCUCACACUCUCUGAAAUGAUCUUCCGUGUCUGUUUAUGUCUGUCUCACCCACUAGAAUGAGUCUUGAGGCAAGACUUGAUCUGUCUUGUUUAUCACUGUCGGCCCAGUGCCAAAAACUGUGCCUGAUGUAUGAUAAGUGUUCGAUAAAUAUCUGCGGAAUGAAUAAUUCCACGUAGGUCUAGCUCCUUCUUUUCAUCGCUGCAGCACAUUCCAGGGUCUGAAUAUAACCAUUUUGUAGUCUUUCUCCUGUUCAUGGGCAUCGGG